UACAGAGGUCCCAAGCGUUGUUCGGAUUCACUGGGCGUAAAGCGUGCGCAGGCGGCUUUGCAAGACAGAUGUGAAAUCCCCGGGCUUAACCUGGGAACUGCAUUUGUGACUGCAUGGCUCGAGUACGGUAGAGGGGGAUGGAAUUCCGCGUGUAGCAGUGAAAUGCGUAGAUAUGCGGAGGAACACCGAUGGCGAAGGCAGUCCCCUGGACCUGUACUGACGCUCAUGCACGAAAGCGUGGGGAGCAAACAGG
rnacentral:rRNA from 1 species